UCCCGGACGGCCUGUGAGGGAUGCGCCGCCCACUGCCCCGCGCCGCCUGACCG
rnacentral:miRNA from 1 species